AUAAAGUUUUAUUCUAACUUAUAAUAUUAAUUUAUAAUUUUAUUUAUAUGUAAAUUAUAGUGAUUAUAUAUUUUUAUUUUAAUAAUAAAAAUUUUUUUUAUUAUUUGCAGUUUAUAGAUUUUAUAUUUUAAGAGAUUAAGAUUAAGAAAUUUAUUAUAAUAUUAACAAAAUUUGUGCCAGCAGUUGCGGUUAUACAAAUAAUAUAAAUAAUAUUUAUUGAUUAAUAAUUAAUUGUUUUAUUUUAAUAAAAAAUUAAAUUUAUUAAGUGAAAUUUUAAAUUUAAUUAAAUUUAUAAAAAAUUUUAUGAAGUUAUUAAAUUUUUAUAUAAACUAGGAUUAGAUACCCUAUUAUUUUAAAUGUAAAUUUAAUAUAUCAAAUUAGUAUUAGUUAUUUUCUUGAAAAUUAAAGAUUUUGGCGGUAUUUUAAUCUUUUCAGAGGAACCUGUUCUAUAAUCGAUAUUCCACGCUUAAUUGUACUUAUUUUUAAUAGUUUAUAUAUCAUCGUAGUUUGAAUAUUUUAUGAGAAUUAUAAUAUUCAAAAUUUAUUAUUAUAAAAAAGAUCAGAUCAAGGUAUAGCUUAUAAAUAAGAAGUAAUGGGUUACAAUAAAUUAAUUUAAAUGGUUUAAAAAUUUUAAUAUUUUUAAUAAAGUGGAUUUGAAAGUAAUAUAAUUUAUUUAAAUUAUAUGAUUAAAGCUCUAAAAUAUGCACAUAUCGCCCGUCGCUUUCAUAUAAAAUGAGAUAAGUCGUAACAAAGUAGAUGUACUGGAAAGUGUUUCUAGAAAGA
rnacentral:ncRNA from 1 species